rnacentral:rRNA from 1 species
GAGAAAUUUGGAUUAAUACCCCAUAGUAUACCGGUGAGGCAUCUUACUGGUAUUAAAGAUUUAUCACUUGAAGAUGGCUGUGCGCCUGAUUAGGUAGUUGGCGGGGUAACGGCCCACCAAGCCUGCGAUCAGUAACUGGUGUGAGAGCACGACCAGUCACACGGGCACUGAGACACGGGCCCGACUCCUACGGGAGGCAGCAGUAAGGAAUAUUGGUCAAUGGACGAAAGUCUGAACCAG